rnacentral:lncRNA from 1 species
UCCCUGUACUUGUUGGUCCAGUCUCUUACUUGUUGCUUUCCAAGGCUGCCAAGGGUGUUGACAAGUCCUUUGAUCUCCUUUCCCUUCUACCAAAAAUCCUCCCUGUCUACAAGUAAGAAAUCACUUUUUAUUAUGGGAUCCAUACUAUUGAUUUUAUGAAUGAUCCUCUGACAUUACAUUGCUAUGAUGACUUUAAUUUGUGUACAGGGAAGUGAUUUCUGAGCUUAAGGCAGCUGGUGCCACCUGGAUUCAGCUUGACGAGCCUGUCCUUGUUAUGGAUCUUGAGGGCCACAAGCUUCAGGCCUUUACCGGUGCCUACGCUGAGCUUGAAUCAACUCUUUCUGGUUUGAAUGUUCUUGUGGAGACCUACUUCGCUGAUAUCCCUGCUGAGGCAUACAAGACCCUAACAUCGUUGAAGGGUGUGACUGCCUUCGGGUUUGAUUUGGUUCGUGGCACCAAGACCCUUGAUUUGGUCAAGGCUGGUUUCCCAGAGGGAAAAUACCUCUUUGCUGGUGUUGUUGAUGGAAGGAACAUCUGGGCCAAUGACUUUGCUGCGUCUCUAAGCACCUUGCAGGCACUUGAGGGCAUUGUUGGUAAAGGUAAUAUGUUUGUCCAGAAUCAUUUGCGUUUUACCUGAAAAUAUUGGGAAUUACUGAAAACAUAUAAUUGAAAUGCUUAUCUGUUAUCUUUUUGUAUUUAUGCAGACAAGCUUGUGGUCUCAACCUCCUGCUCCCUUCUCCACACCGCUGUUGAUCUUAUCAACGAGACCAAGCUUGAUGAUGAAAUCAAGUCAUGGAUGGCGUUUGCUGCCCAGAAGGUCAUUGAAGUGAAUGCAUUGGCCAAGGCUUUGGCUGGUCAGAAGGAUGAGGUAUUAUUUGCACCCACAUGCUUCUCUAGCAGUGGACCCUUGAAUCAUCUGUAGAAAUUAUUUUGAAAACACUAGAAAUCUAAUAUUUAUCUUCUUUCAGGCCCUUUUCUCUGCCAAUGCUGCAGCUUUGGCUUCAAGGAGGUCUUCCCCAAGAGUCACCAACGAGGGUGUUCAGAAGGCUGUAAGUUUGAUGUCAAACCUACACACUGUUCUCAUUCAAUGAUUAAAAAAAAAAAAAUCUUAUAUUGAUUGAGAUUCUUUUAUUUCAGGCUGCUGCUUUGAAGGGAUCUGACCACCGUCGUGCAACUAAUGUUAGUGCUAGACUAGAUGCUCAGCAGAAGAAGCUCAACCUCCCAAUCCUGCCAACCACAACCAUUGGAUCCUUCCCACAGACUGUAGAGCUCAGGAGAGUUCGUCGUGAGUACAAGGCAAAGAAGUUAGUCUCCUAAAUUCAGUUCUUAUUCAUAUGUGUCACACAUCCUUAUAUUGUUGUUGAUGCUAAUAGUUUCUCUAAUUUUUUGUUUACUAGGGUUUCUGAGGAGGACUACGUUAAGGCCAUGAAGGAAGAGAUCAAGAAAGUUGUUGACCUCCAAGAGGAACUUGACAUCGAUGUUCUUGUCCACGGAGAGCCAGAGGUGAGAUUCUUCAAAAAAAAAUUACAUUAUUUUGUAGACCUUACUGUUUCUGAUGCGACAUGUUUUCACAAAUUGUAGAGGAACGACAUGGUUGAGUACUUUGGGGAGCAGUUGUCUGGAUUUGCCUUCACUGCAAACGGAUGGGUACAAUCUUAUGGAUCUCGCUGUGUCAAGCCACCAGUUAUCUACGGUGAUGUGAGCCGUCCCAAGGCAAUGACUGUCUUCUGG